rnacentral:hammerhead_ribozyme from 1 species
GUGCCGAUGAAGAGUCCCGAAAUAAGACGAAACAGCUGUCCAGCAU